UUGGAGGGCAAGUCUGGUGCCAGCAGCCGCGGUAAUUCCAGCUCCAAUAGCGUAUAUUAAAGUUGCUGCAGUUAAAAAGCUCGUAGUUGAAUUUCGGGACCAUCAUGUCGGUCGUGCCUCGGUACGUACUGGUAUUGUUGGUUUCUCCCUUCUGACGAACCAUGAUGUCAUUUAUUUGGUGUUGUGGGGAAUCAGGACUGUUACUUUGAAAAAAUUAGAGUGUUUAAAGCAGGCUCACGCUUGAAUACAUUAGCAUGGAAUAAUGAAAUAGGACGUUUGAUUCUAUUUCGUUGGUUUCUAGGAUCGACGUAAUGAUUAAUAGGGAUAGUUGGGGGCAUUAGUAUUCAAUUGUCAGAGGUGAAAUUCUUGGAUUUAUUGAAGACUAACUACUGCGAAAGCAUUUGCCAAGGAUGUUUUCAUUAAUCAAGAACGAAAGUUAGGGGAUCGAAGACGAUCAGAUACCGUCGUAGUCUUAACCAUAAACUAUGCCGACUAGGGAUCGGAUGAUGUUAAUUUUUUAAUGACUCAUUCGGCGCCUUACGGGAAAC
rnacentral:rRNA from 1 species